rnacentral:rRNA from 1 species
GAUGAACGCUGGCGGCGUGCUUAACACAUGCAAGUCGAACGAAGCACUUUGGAAUGAUUCUUCGGAUGAGUGAAGAAGUGACUUAGUGGCGGACGGGUGAGUAACGCGUGGAUAACCUGCCUUAUACUGGGGGACAACAGUUAGAAAUGACUGCUAAUACCGCAUAAGCGCACAGUACCGCAUGGUACGGUGUGAAAAACUCCGGUGGUAUAAGAUGGAUCCGCGUCUGAUUAGCUAGUUGGUGAGGUAACGGCUCACCAAGGCGACGAUCAGUAGCCGGCCUGAGAGGGUGAACGGCCACAUUGGGACUGAGACACGGCCCAGACUCCUACGGGAGGCAGCAGUGGGGAAUAUUGCACAAUGGGCGAAAGCCUGAUGCAGCGACGCCGCGUGAGCGAAGAAGUAUUUCGGUAUGUAAAGCUCUAUCAGCAAGGAAGAUAAUGACGGUACUUGACUAAGAAGCCCCGGCUAACUACGUGCCAGCCGCCGCGGUAA